rnacentral:rRNA from 1 species
GUAGGUGGCAAGCGUUGUCCGGAAUUAUUGGGCGUAAAGCGCGCGCAGGUGGUUCUUUAAGUCUGAUGUGAAAGCCCCCGGCUCAACCGGGGAGGGUCACUGGAAACUGGGGAACUUGAGUGCAGGAGAGGAAAGUGGAAUUCCACGUGUAGCGGUGAAAUGCGUAGAUAUGUGGAGGAACACCAGUGGCGAAGGCGACUUUCUGGCCUGUAACUGACACUGAGGCGCGAAAGCGUGGGGAGCAAACAGGGAUUAGAUACCCUGGUAGUCCACGCCGUAAACGAUGAGUGCUAAGUGUUGGGGGGGUUUCCCGCCCCUCAGUGCUGCAGCUAACGCAUUAAGCACUCCGCCUGGGGAGUACGGUCGCAAGACUG